AGGGUGUAAACGCUGCAGACUUGGUGUUGGAAAUCCUUCGAGGGUAUUCGGUGCCGGAGAGAAGUUGUUAAGUCUGCUACUUGGGGAGUACGUCCGCAAGGAUGAAACUUAAAGGAAUUGGCGGGGGAGCACCGCAACGGGAGGAGCGUGCGGUUUAAUUGGAUUCAACACCGGAAAACUCACCAGGGGAGACUGUUACAUGAAACCCAGACUAAUGAUCUUGGUUGAUUUUCAGAGAGGAGGUGCAUGGCGUCAGUGACU
rnacentral:rRNA from 1 species